rnacentral:rRNA from 1 species
AAUGGGUCAGCGACUUAUAUUCUGUAGCAAGGUUAACCGAAUAGGGGAGCCGAAGGGAAACCGAGUCUUAACUGGGCGUUAAGUUGCAGGGUAUAGACCCGAAACCCGGUGAUCUAGCCAUGGGCAGGUUGAAGGUUGGGUAACACUAACUGGAGGACCGAACCGACUAAUGUUGAAAAAUUAGCGGAUGACUUGUGGCUGGGGGUGAAAGGCCAAUCAAACCGGGAGAUAGCUGGUUCUCCCCGAAAGCUAUUUAGGUAGCGCCUCGUGAAUUCAUCUCCGGGGGUAGAGCACUGUUUCGGCAAGGGGGUCAUCCCGACUUACCAACCCGAUGCAAACUGCGAAUACCGGAGAAUGUUAUCACGGGAGACACACGGCGGGUGCUAACGUCCGUCGUGAAGAGGGAAACAACCCAGACCGCCAGCUAAGGUCCCAAAGUCAUGGUUAAGUGGGAAACGAUGUGGGAAGGCCCAGACAGCCAGGAUGUUGGCUUAGAAGCAGCCAUCAUUUAAAGAAAGCGUAAUAGCUCACUGGUCGAGUCGGCCUGCGCGGAAGAUGUAACGGGGCUAAACCAUGCACCGAAGCUGCGGCAGCGACGCUUAUGCGUUGUUGGGUAGGGGAGCGUUCUGUAAGCCUGUGAAGGUGUGCUGUGAGGCAUGCUGGAGGUAUCAGAAGUGCGAAUGCUGACAUAAGUAACGAUAAAGCGGGUGAAAAGCCCGCUCGCCGGAAGACCAAGGGUUCCUGUCCAACGUUAAUCGGGGCAGGGUGAGUCGACCCCUAAGGCGAGGCCGAAAGGCGUAGUCGAUGGGAAACAGGUUAAUAUUCCUGUAC